rnacentral:lncRNA from 1 species
CUACUCUCUUUUUCAUCGCAAGUAAAAUGUAGAUUCACUGAGUGCUACUCAAAGGCUCACAAGACUAUAAUCACUUGCCUUAUGCUUACCCUCCCUCCCUUUUUUCUUCCCCUCCUGCUUGCUCUUUCCUCUUAAAUACCGAAAUUUGCAAAAUCCUUUAUGGAAAAAACACCAGUCACAGUAACUUUUGUUUCUAUUCCCAGGCAUGUCCCCAACCUUAGCAAAAUAAACCUCUAAGCGACUGAGAUCUGUCUCAGUCCCUUUUUGGAAUACACUCCAAACUCCACAGGCAUUGCACUAGCUAGUGCAUCCCUUUCAACCUAUAUACUGUCCCAGUUUGCCACAGAUGAAAAUCUUCGCAAUCACACUGCUACAACCUGCCAGAGACUAUCAAAACUCGAUUUACCUCCAGUGAUGAGAUAUCCAUUGCUGUCAGGCCAGCAAGUUAUCCAUUCCCAGAAUUCCAUCCUGAAAAUCUAUUUCCAAAGCCUAAGCUAUUCUGAUACCCUUUCUUAGGUUGGGCCCCCUAGAUGCAGAACCUGAGAUGGGGAUUCUUCUAUGAUUUAUUGAAGGAUGGUUCAUAAGAGGAGUGGGAGAAGCAGGACAGGGUCGAGGGGAAAGUAAAGCAAGAUGUGGCCCAAGAUGCAGACUGAAAGUAUUGCAAGAUGUAGUUGAAAAGUACCAGCAGCCUGAUCCCACCUUGAGGCAAAGGGAUGCAGAGUGUGCAACUCUGAUGCACACACUGCAUCAGAGUUAGUCCCACCUUGAGGCAAAAGGAUGACAUCUUUCCUUCCUUUUAGGUCUGUUGUUGACUGCAAGCUAUUAAUGCAAGAAGGGAACCUCCUGGCCAAGGCAGCUUCUGUUUGACUGCGGGCAAUUCUCUGAAGCAAGUAAACAGUCACUCGAGGGUGAUGAAAAAGCAUCCCUAGGUGUGGUUGUGGCAUCUUGGUCACCUAUGUGCCACCUGCCAGUGCAAGGAUUUGUCAUAGUUAUAGUGACCGUGCUAAAGUUAAAGAACACCCAUAGCAUUUGACGGGUGGACACACCAGCCAAGUGAAAUGGGAUCUGGGUAGAGCACUCACUGCACGCAUUUACCUGUGAGUCUACGAACAAACAGAAAAUUACAAAACCUAUUUAAAGCCAAAUGACCAUAAAAGAAUAAUUUACAUCAAAAUCUGAGGUUAUAGCUAAUAUGAUACACACUAGCAAAUUUAUAGCCUCAAAAGCAUGUUAGAAAUGAAUAAAGCCAAAAUGUAAUUAGAAAGGCAUUCAACUUAAGGAAUUAUAGAAAACACACAGAAAGCAGAAGAAAGGAAAUAUUUGUGAUAAGAGCAAUAAGGAAAUAGAAAAAAAUAAACAGUACAGAGGAUCAAAAAUGUAUUGCUUUAAAAAACAUUAAUAAAAACAAAUAUCUGGCAAUAUUGAAGAAAUAGAAAAGCAGAUGUAAACAAUAUUGGAAAUGGAAAAAGAGAACAUUAUUACAUUUAGGCAAAAGUUUUUAAA